rnacentral:piRNA from 1 species
UGAGGAUUUCCCACCUGUGUCAGUUAGUGU